rnacentral:lncRNA from 1 species
GGAGGGACAUGAUCCUGAUCCUUAAAAUCAGUCAUAAAAAUAAACAAAUUUUGUUAAGAAGUGAGCAACUUUGUUCUCCUGACCUUUUAGCAGAAACAACAGAGUUAUUUAGAAAUAUCUAACAUGAGUAACUGCCAAUAAAAAAUAAUGCAACCGAAAUUAAAAAUAUCAACAUUUUGUUUUUGAAUAGCUUGAACCAAGAGGAACAGUAGCUCUGUAAAUGAUGCAAAUAUUAGGAUAACAGCUAAUCUCAUUAUACCCCUCAUUAGCCAUAACAAGAUUUAAAGAAGCAUCACAAUUCAGUUUCAAAUAACCUGUUGGUGGCUUUGUACCAACAGUAGCUCCUUGUGCCGCAAUAUUCAUCAGAAAAGAUGAACCUUACCCGAGCUACUUGCCAUGAAUAGAUUGAACCAAGAGGAAACAAUAGCUUAAACUCUUAUUUCUCCUUUAACAGUUUAAAUUGGAGUAUGUUAAAGAAAACAAAGGAAAAAAAUAAAUAAAUAAAACUCUUGCACUUCAGUUUCAAAGUGUGGCUUAUUGAAGUUAUAACUAUAGAAAUAACUAUAAGACUCCAUAUAUUUGUUUCUUUAUUUAUUUAUCAAUAUAUGGAUAUAACUACAGAAAUAAAAGAUAAAAAGUUAAUAAUAGAACAAAGUAAUUAUGCAAGUAAGUAUAAAUGAGAAAAUUUGAAAAGAAAAAUAUAAAAGAGACAUAAAUAAUGAGCAAACAUAAUUCUUUAAAAUGUAAUUUUCCCUGUAACUAAGUAAUGGAUGGGUUGAGUUAGAAGCACCUUUUAGUGUACCAAGACACAUGGGUAGAGCAAAUUAAGCUUUGCAAUUGCAUUUAUAUUUUUCUUUUCAAAUUUUCUCAUUUAUACUUCCUUGCAUAAUUACUUUGUUCUAUUAUUAACUUUUUAUCUUUUAUUUCUGUAGUUAUAUCCAUAUAUUGAUAAAUAAAUAAAGAAACAAAUAUAUGGAGUCUUAUAGUUAUUUCUAUAGUUAUAACUUCAAUAAGCCACACUUUGAAACUGAAGUGCAAGAGUUUUAUUUAUUUAUUUUUAGUGAAGUUUAGCAAGUACUAAAAAUUAUUUUGUAGAUCUUUCUUAUGAAUUCAAAAUUUGAACAUUUUGGAGGGAAUAUAUAAAAUGUGAUUAAAGUCAACAAUAUAUCAUUUGCCACCUUAUAUAUCUGCAUAAUCAGGGUAUUCACAAACAUGAAGAGAACUCUUCCAUAAAUCACAUUAUAAUAUUAUUAAUUUAUGAAUAAAUAUAAUUUAGUAAUUAAUUAAUAAAAUAUGUUGAGAUAUUCGAGUAAAAUUAAUAAUUAUGCUUAGAUUUUUUCUAGCAAUAUUUGUAUGUCUUUUUGAUAUCAUGCAAAACUUAUAUACAAGCUAGUUGUGGAUGAUAGAACUCACAAAUUUUGUAUUGUAAUUUUUAUUUUUGUUCUGUUCAUAUCCACUAUAUAAAUACACAUAAUCACAUGAUAAUGCUAUUAAUUUAUGAAUAUAUAUAGUUUACUGAUUAAUUAAUAAAAUUUGUUGAGAUAUUGGAGUAAAAUUAAUAAUUAUAAAACCAAUUUAAAUAUAUAUACAAUAAAAGAGCCUUAAAAAAAUUGUAGAAAAACAAAUAAAAAAAAACUCAAAAAAAUUGUAAAAAAAGAAAAACAAAUGAGUUGAUUAGAGCAAAUUAAGCUUGCUGGCACAGUGAAGUUUAGCCAAGUACUAAUAGGUUUAGUUGAUUUAUAGGCAUGUUGAAUUGCAAUUCACAAUCAAAUUUUUAAGAGUAAUGCUUAAAGUUCCUUUCAAUACUAAAAGUAGCUAACUAAGGGUUAAUUCAUAACAUUCCAAUAAUACUACAAAUCAUAAUCUCAAAUGAAAAACUCAAGAAACAACUCAAAAGGAUUGAAUUAUGGCUCACCUAGUCCAGAAAUAUGACGGAAAAUUUGAAUAUGCUCAUUAAAAAGUGACCGAAAACGAACCUUAAAAUCAAAACCCACUGCUGUCGGCGAUAGCUUGACCGAAAAUGGGUGGGAAGGUGGCCAGAGGGACGCUGGAGAUGAGGAGAAACGUAGUCCGGCCGGUCCUUGGCUGGGCUCGCGGGAAAACUGGAAGAGGGACGAGGAGCGAACUGUCCCGAUCGCAAGCCACAAUCGCAACACCUUGUGAUUUUCUGUGGCAGCCAGAACGAAGCGAGAGAGGGUGGGAGCUACGCCGUCGUUUGGAGCGUCUGGCGUCGCCGGAGAGCCGAAGAGGGGACUACGACAGCUGCUCUCGCUGGAAAUGAAUGGAGAGAGGGAAGGAGAGGCCGGAGCUGCUGCGGCGAGGAGGCGCGGCGCUAGUCUCUGGUGGUCGGAAAAACGAGAGAAGGAGAGGGGGAGGGUGAGGUCGGCGCUGGCGGUGGUGGCGUGUGUUCUGGAGUUCGCGAGGGAGAAGAGAAGGGAGAAAGAAAAGAAGAAAAAAAAAAAAGAAAGGAGAAGAUGGGUCUAGAUUAUUGUAGGCCAUUUCGAUUCGAUUCGAUUCGAACCGAUUUGGCUCAAUUCAAUGGUUUAGCUUGAUUUUAUUUGGUUUACGGGGUUUUCACAUGGUUUACGGAUCCGAUUUGAUUUAGUAAUCACUUACAUACACACAUGUAUACAUAUUUAUAAUAAAUUAAUAGCUAGAGCUCCAUAUUUACUCUCAAAAUUUCUAAAGGUUAAUAAUAGAACAAAGUAAUUAUGCAAGUAAGUAUAAAUGAGAAAAUUUGAAAAGAAAAAUAUAAAUGCAAUUGCAAAG